UACAGAGGUCCCAAGCGUUGUUCGGAUUCAUUGGGCGUAAAGGGUGCGUAGGUGGCGGGGUAAGUUGGAUGUGAAAUCCUGGGGCUCAACCCUAGAACUGCAUUCAAUACUGCCUUGCUGGAGUACUGGAGAGGAGAUUGGAAUUACGGUGUAGCAGUGAAAUGCGUAGAUAUCGUAAGGAAGACCGGUGGCGAAGGCGGAUCUCUGGACAGUUACUGACACUGAGGCACGAAGGCCAGGGGAGCAAACGGG
rnacentral:rRNA from 1 species